rnacentral:rRNA from 1 species
UACGUAGGGUGCAAGCGUUGUCCGGAAUUAUUGGGCGUAAAGAGCUCGUAGGCGGUUUGUCGCGUCUGCUGUGAAAACCCGAGGCUCAACCUCGGGCCUGCAGUGGGUACGGGCAGACUAGAGUGUUGCAGGGGAGACUGGAAUUCCUGGUGUAGCGGUGAAAUGCGCAGAUAUCAGGAGGAACACCAAUAGCGAAGGCAGCUCGCUGGGACGGUACUGACACUAAGGCGCGAAAGCGUGGGGAGCGAACAGG